rnacentral:lncRNA from 13 species
AUGGAAAAAUGGACACGGCAUUCGGAGACCAAACAGAUUCUUUUCUGCAGCUCGGACACUAGCCAGAAGGUAAGAAUCCCUGGGCCUUUGAUUCCAUGGUGGCAACCUGGGCUAGAUGCUGUUUCAUUAACAAAUGGGACUUUGCACACACCUGCAGUCUUUUCAGAGCCAUGUAUCUCAGUCUGGGUAUUAAAUUAGUAAUUAAAUAUUUUAUUCUUCUGGGUAAGAUAGGGAAAAAAGAAACAUGAUGUUUCUUCUUUAUGUAACUUUCUUCCAUUUUAACUUUUGCUAUUUUCCCUGCCUUUUUUCUUUUCUUUCUUUCUUUCUUUUUUUUUUUUGAGACAGAGUCUCAUUGUUUUGCAGAUGGAGUGCAGUGAGUGGUGUGAUCUUGGCUCAUGGCAGCUUCUGCCUCCCAGGUUAAAGUGAUUCUCGUACCUCAACCUCCUGAGUAGCUGGGAUUACAGGCAUGUACCCCCAUGACAGGAUAAUUUUUUGUAUUUUUAGCAGAUGAGGUUUUGCUCUGUUGGCCAGGCUGGUCUCAAACUCCUGGCCUCAAGUGAUCUGCCCUACUUGGCCUCCCAAAGUGCUGGGAUUACAGGCAUAAGCCACCGUACCUGGCCUCAUUAGCAAAGCUUUCAAACAAAAACUUUGUGUUUGGGACAACUCCUGGGGGCUGAGGAAUCAUAGAUAAACUUGACUGACCUGUGUAUGAUUCUUCUGUGUAGAAUCUGUAAGGUGGUUGGAGUGCUUGUGAUCUCUGUUUUGUGGAUUAGAAGAUAGAGGUAGAGAGGGUCGUCAUUUUCCCAGGUUAGUGAUGAGGACGUUGGUCUACAUUCUCAGUCUUCAGCUGUGCAGCCACCUUAAACAAAAUUAUAACCCGAAACCUGUAUUUCUCCCUUUCAUUGUGAAUGUCAGUUUAAGCCUACCAGAUGAAAGACUUACCCUAAUAUUUAUGGGUUAAGAAUCUGAAUUGCAUUUCCACUCUGGAGCAAUUGUGGGCCCUUAAUAGUCAUGCUCUUUCACAGUGAAAUGUUUCUAGAAAGUCUAUAUUUUUAGUAGAGACAGGGUUUUGCUGUGUUGGCCAGGCUGGUCUUGAAUACCUGACCUCCAAUGAUCCACCCGCCUCAGCCUCCAAAAAGGUUGGAAUUAUAGGUGUGAGCCACCAUGCUGGCCAACAAUGGUGCUUUGGAGGCAAGUAGUGUUAGGUCUAUCGGUGGCGAUUAAUAGAGCUUGUAAGCUCUGGUUCUGAUAAACCCAAUACAUCUAAUAGAUGGAGACACAUUCUCUGUUAGAGUAACAUCUCUGAUAGUCUUUUUGGAAGCACUGCUCCAGGCUUGUCAGGUUGUUGGCAUUGGAAACAUACAAUUAGCUGGUGAAGAAGGUUGGGGUAGGAUAUCUGAGUUGUGAGUUGCCUUUGGAGCUUAGCCCUGAGGUUUGGAAUAUAUUUGUUUAUUAGUCUGUUUAUCCAUGGGCACAUUCUAUUUUUAACCUUCAACCCAGUGCGAAAUGAUUUUGGAACAUUUAUUUAGGAAUAGCUUUAAGAGCUUCCCUAUGAGGAGACUGUCUCCGGCUUGGCAGUGGUUUGGCCUGGAGACCAGCACUGUCUAGAAUACUUCUGAGCUCCUUCUGAAUGAGUAUUUGACUCUGUGGAGUGAAACAAGCCAGCUCAGUGGCUCCUAUGCAGAGAUGGAGAUGAUCCAGGCUGGGCCACUCAGCUGGAAACUAAGGGAAGGGGAAAGGUUGGUAUCCAGGAAAACAACUUGGCAGCAGGGAGGGAGAUGUAACUUCAUGAAACCAGCCAGAGAUUUCAGCUCUGAGCCCAGGAUGGUGUUGAAUAGGUGUGAGGGAGACUCUGUAUGAGAACUGACAUCUCAAUUUAAUCUCUCCAGGGCAAGGCUUCCUGAAUUGUGUUGUGCCCAACAUUAGAGUUUUAUAAGCCGUUAAGCCUUUUCCAAGAUCAAGUAAGCUUGACAGACUCUCUAUAUGAUGUUCUGGUUUGGAAAUCAAAAUUCCUCAGAAUAGAAAUCCAACUACGUUGCUUAGCUGACCAUUUGUUUCACUUAGCUGACUGAGAAAAUACCUUUAUCUCUUAGUUAGCCUGCAUACCAAGAAGACAUAUGGAUGUUCAAUGGGUGGCUCAUCCUGUAAUCUUGUGUUUUACUUCUCCUCAUCUCUAGAGGAGUCUGGUGAUGAUAGGGCUAUUGAUAUCGUUUGGCUCUGUGUCCCCAUCCAAAUCUCAUCUUGAAUUGUAAUCCCCAUGUGUCGAAGGAGGGACUUAGUUGGAGGUGAUUGGAUCAGGGGCAGAUUUCCCCCUUGCUGUUCUUGUAGUAGUGAGUGAAUUCUCACAAGAUCUGAUGGUUUUAAGGUGUGGUACUUCCCCCUUCACCUGAGCUCUUUCUCUCCUGCCACCAUGUAAGACGUGCCUUCUUUCUCUUUCAUCUUCCACCACGAUUGGAGGUUUCCUGAGGCUUCCCCAGCCAUGUGGAACUGUGAGUCACUUAAACUGAUUUUCUUUAUAAAUAACCCAGUCUCAGUUCUUUAUGGCAAUGUGAAAAUGAACUAAUACUGCUAUGUUGCAUUUUUACAAGAACAAAAUACGUUAACAGUGGCAGUCACUGUUCCCUCCUUUCCUUUUCACGUUUAACCUGAUACAUUUUUGCCAGUCUCUUCAAGCCCCACUGAUUAAGAAGAUGAGUAGGAUAUUCUAAAACCCUGGAAACUUGGAUCUUUGCUAGCAAAUGCGACUCUAAGAUGCUGAAUAAAAGCCUUAGGAAGAAAUUAUAAAGAACA